AAAGUCGUAACAAGGUUUCCGUAGGUGAACCUGCGGAAGGAUCAUUAUUGAAUCUAGCAGGCCUGGCAUUUAUUUUGCCUGGCUUGCGCGUAUUUAAAACCCCACACUUUUGAAAAUAAAACAUAUCUUAAAAAUAAGUAAUUAAAAGAUCACUUUCAACAACGGAUCUCUUGGUUCUC
rnacentral:misc_RNA from 1 species